CUUGAACUUUAUAAGAGGUCCAGCCUGCCCAGUGACUCUGUUCAACGGCCGCGGUAUCCUAACCGUGCGAAGGUAGCGUAAUCACUUGUUCUUUAAAUGUGGACUAGUAUGAAUGGCACUACGAGGGUUAUACUGUCUCCUUUUUCUAAUCAGUGAAACUAAUUUUCCCGUGAAGAAGCGGGAAUAUAACUAUAAGACGAGAAGACCCUAUGGAGCUUUAAACAACCCAGCAAUUACUUCUAAAUUUUAAAUUUCAAAAUAUUCAUUCUUUAAGUAAUAUGUCUGCAAGUUUUUGGUUGGGGUGACCAUGGAGAAUAACAUAACCUCCAUAUUGAAUGAAUUCCCUUCUAAGCUGAAAAUCACCAAUUGAAGCAUCAACACACUGACAUCUAUUGACCCAAUAUAUUUGAUCAACGAACCAAGUUAC
rnacentral:rRNA from 1 species